GACGAACGCUGGCGGCGUGCUUAACACAUGCAAGUCGAACGGAAAGGCCCUGCUUUUGUGGGGUGCUCGAGUGGCGAACGGGUGAGUAACACGUGAGUAACCUGCCCUUGACUUUGGGAUAACUUCAGGAAACUGGGGCUAAUACCGGAUAGGAGCUCCUGCUGCAUGGUGGGGGUUGGAAAGUUUCGGCGGUUGGGGAUGGACUCGCGGCUUAUCAGCCUGUUGGUGGGGUAGUGGCUUACCAAGGCUUUGACGGGUAGCCGGCCUGAGAGGGUGACCGGCCACAUUGGGACUGAGAUACGGCCCAGACUCCUACGGGAGGCAGCAGUGGGGAAUAUUGCACAAUGGGCGGAAGCCUGAUGCAGCAACGCCGCGUGCGGGAUGACGGCCUUCGGGUUGUAAACCGCUUUCGCAUGUGACGAAGCGUGAGUGACGGUAAUGGGUAAAGAAGCACCGGCUAACUACGUG
rnacentral:rRNA from 1 species